AACGAACGCUGGCGGCAUGCCUAACACAUGCAAGUCGAACGAGACCUUCGGGUCUAGUGGCGCACGGGUGCGUAACGCGUGGGAACCUGCCCUUAGGUUCGGAAUAACUCCCCGAAAGGGGUGCUAAUACCGGAUAAUGUCUUCGGACCAAAGAUUUAUCGCCUUUGGAUGGGCCCGCGUUGGAUUAGCUAGUUGGUAGGGUAAAAGCCUACCAAGGCGACGAUCCAUAGCUGGUCGGAGAGGAUGAUCAGCCACACUGGGACUGAGACACGGCCCAGACUCCUACGGGGAGCAGCAGUGGGGAAUAUUAGACAAUGGGCGAAAGCCUGAUCCAGCAAUGCCGCGUGAGUGAUGAAGGCCUUAGGGUUGUAAAGCUCUUUUACCCGGGAUGAUAAUGACAGUACCGGGAGAAUAAGCUCCGGCUAACUCCGUG
rnacentral:rRNA from 1 species